rnacentral:rRNA from 1 species
GAUGAACGCUGGCGGCGUGCCUAAUACAUGCCAGUCGAGCGAACAGGCGAUGAGCUUGCGCCUCUGACGUUAGCGGCGGACGGGUGAGUAACACGUGGAUAACAUACUUAUAAUACUUGGAUAACUUCGGGGAACCGGAGCUAAUACCGGAGAAUAUAUUGAACCGCAUGGUUCAAUGGUGAAAGACGGUUUUGCUGUCACUUAUAGAUGGAUCCGGGCCGGAUUGGCUAGUUGGUAAGGUAACGGCUUACCAAGGCAACGAUGCGUAGCCGACCUGAGAGGGUGAUCGGCCACACUGGAACUGAGACACGGUCCAGACUCCUACGGGAGGCAGCAGUAGGGAAUAUUGCGCAAUGGGCGAAAGCCUGACGCAGCAACGCCGCGUGAGUGAUGAAGGUCUUCGGAUCGUAAAACUCUGUUAUUAGGGAAGAACAAAUGUGUAAGUAACUCUGCACGUCUUGACGGUACCUAAUCAGAAAGCCCCGGCUAACUACGUG